AUUGAACGCUGGCGGCAGGCCUAACACAUGCAAGUCGAACGAGUGGCGGACGGGUGAGUAAUGUCUGGGAAACUGCCCGAUGGAGGGGGAUAACUACUGGAAACGGUAGCUAAUACCGCAUACCAUCGGAUGUGCCCAGAUGGGCUUAGCUAGUAGGUGGGGUAACGGCUCACCUAGGCGACGAUCCCUAGCUGGUCUGAGAGGAUGACGAGCCACACUGGAACUGAGACACGGCCCAGACUCCUACGGGAGGCAUCAGAGGGGAAUAUUGCACAAUGGGCGCAAGCCGGAUGAGGCCAUGCCGCGUAUAUGAAGAGGGCGUUCGGGUUGUAAGGUACUUUCAGCGAGGAGGCGUUACUCGCAGAAGAAGCGCCGGCUAACUCCGUGCCAGCCGCCGCGGUAAUAC
rnacentral:rRNA from 1 species